rnacentral:rRNA from 1 species
CCUACGGGAGGCAGCAGUGAGGAAUAUUGGUCAAUGGACGAGAGUCUGAACCAGCCAAGUAGCGUGAAGGAUGACUGCCCUAUGGGUUGUAAACUUCUUUUAUAAAGGAAUAAAACGAGGCACGUGUGCCUUUUUGCAUGUACUUUAUGAAUAAGGAUCGGCUAACUCCGUGCCAGCAGCCGCGGUAAUACGGAGGGUCCGAGCGUUCUCCGGAUUUAUUGGGUUUAAAGGGAGCGUAGGUGGGUUGUUAAGUCAGUUGUGAAAGUUUGCGGCUCAACCGUAAAAUUGCAAUUGAUACUGGCAGUCUUGAGUACAGUAGAGGUAGGCGGAAUUCGUGGUGUAGCGGUGAAAUGCUUAGAUAUCACGAAGAACCCCGAUUGCGAAGGCAGCUUACUAAACUGUGACUGACAUUGAUGCGCGAAAGUGUGGGUAGCAAACAGGAUUAGAUACCCGUGUAGUC